rnacentral:rRNA from 1 species
UACAGAGGUCUCAAGCGUUGUUCGGAAUUACUGGGCGUAAAGCGCACGUAGGCGGCGAUUCAAGUCAGAGGUGAAAGCCCGGGGCUCAACCCCGGAACUGCCUUUGAAACUAGAUCGCUAGAAUCUUGGAGAGGUCAGUGGAAUUCCGGGUGUAGCGGUGGAAUGCGUAGAGAUCCGGAAGAACACCGGAGGCGAAGGCGGCUUGCUGGGCAUUGUCUGACGCUGAGGCGCGAAAGCGUGGGGAGCGAACAGG